UAGUUGUUGUCCUGCCAGAGGGAAAAGCCGAAACUACCUCCCUUGAGUGUUUACAAAGGUGCAGUCAAUCUGAGGAGCACAGAAGAGUAGCUCAGGCAUAGCCCAUGGAUCCCAUGGAUGAACAAUUAUAGAGAUGAAAGUCCCAGGAAAAUGAGGACUUACGAUGAGGCCUGUUAUCCACUUCCUGACAGAGAAUGAUGGACUCAAGAUGCAGAUUGAGAUAUAUUUUGGACAUGUACAAUACCCAGGAAUUAUCGAUGAAUUUUGGACUGUGGUGAAUGGAGUUCCCAAACUGAUAAAAUCACACAUCCUUGAACCCUAUGGGGUCAUUACCAUUUUCCUUCUUUGAUAUUUACGAUUUUUAAAAAUACAUACAUAUACAUAUAAACACAUGUGUGUGUGUGCAUGUGUGUGUAUAUAUGUGUGUGUUUAUUUCCUGGCUUCUAUGUGAACUCUCAUUGUGCUGUUUUGACUAGAGAUACCACUUAAAAAAGAAAACAUUUAACUUAUUUGACUUGUUUGCUUAGUUAUCUAGAUUAAGCUUAAAAGUCCAGUAUAUCAAUUCGUGAGACUGGUCAAAGCAAGCCACCAAUGGUAAACAAUAAGUUUUAAUAAGUGACUGGCUUUUUAAUAAUUGUCUUGAUAUAUUUGCUCCCAUUUCAGUAAAAUACACUGUUUAUAAUUUGUAAAAUUACAGAAAAAAUAUAACCAAAUUAGAGGUGUUUGAUAUUCUCUUUGUAAGUAUUUAGGCAUGGCCACUAUGGUUCCCAAAGAUCCAUUUUAAGCUACAGAAAUAACAGAUGUUUCCAUAAUUUUUUUAUUUAAAUAAUAAAAGGUAAAAGAGACCUUAAGUUUAAAAAAAUGAGUGAAAUGAAAUAACCAUGCUACUAUACCUGAGAUCAUUCCUUAGUAUCAUUGCGCAACAGUGAUAUUGUUUCAGCUUAUUGACUGACUGACUGAUUUAUAGCAGAGUAAAAUUGACUGAAUUUAAUUUGCCAGCUGUACUGUUCAGUACUUGAUGUCUGGUCAUAAUCAAGGACUUGGCUUUCAACUUAGUGAAUUCAUCAUUUUGGAAACAAGAACAAAUAAAAUUUUGAAAAUAAGAAUCCAGUGACACAUUUUUUUUAACCCACCAUUUUACCUUUCCUGUGUUCUAAAUUAUUCUUUUAGCAAUGGGUAUGGCCACAACAUGCAACUUAAUGUUAGGAUCUGACUUAAAAUUCCUUUUUUUUCUAACCCUGAAUUAUACUUUAUUAAUUUUGAGAAUUAAUUUUAUAAAUUCAGUCAAAAAGGUUCCUCUUAUAUUCCUCAUGUACAAAAUAAACUAUGGAGAUGAUUCUGAAAUAAUUCAAGAGAAGCUCAUUUUUAUGAUCUAAGUUAGUGGUGUCAAAUUCAAACAGAAAGUGGGACAACAAAUCUGAACAUAAAGGUGCCUGUAGGGCACAGAUCGACUUAGUUUUAAAAUGUAAUGUUAUCUAUGUUUUAUUAUGUUUUUAUUGAUUUUGUUAAACAUUUCCCAAUUACACUUUAAUCUGGUUCAGGCAGCACUCAAGACUAUUGUGGGCCAUUUUUCUGA